rnacentral:rRNA from 1 species
AACGUAGGUUCCGAGCGUUAUCCGGAUUUACUGGGCGUAAAGGGCGCGUAGGCGGCCACCGCAAGUCAGUUGUGAAAGCUCUGGGCUUAACCCAGAAAGGUCAACUGAUACUGCGGGGCUAGAGUGCAGAAGGGGCAACUGGAAUUCUCGGUGUAGCGGUGAAAUGCGUAGAUAUCGAGAGGAACACCUGCGGCGAAGGCGGGUUGCUGGGCUGAUACUGACGCUGAGGCGCGAAAGCUAGGGGAGCGAACGGG